UGGGGAAUAUUGCACAAUGGGCGCAAGCCUGAUGCAGCAACGCCGCGUGAGGGACGACGGCCUUCGGGUUGUAAACCUCUUUUGGCAGGGAAGAAGCGAAAGUGACGGUACCUGCAGAAAAAGCACCGGCUAACUACGUGCCAGCAGCCGCGGUGAUACGUAGGGUGCAAGCGUUGUCCGGAAUUAUUGGGCGUAAAGAGCUCGUAGGCGGUCUGUCGCGUCUGCUGUGAAAACCCGAGGCUCAACCUCGGGCCUGCAGUGGGUACGGGCAAACGAGAGUGCGGUAGGGGAGAUUUGAAUUCCUGGUGUAGCGGUGGAAUGCGCAGAGAUCAGGAGGAACACCGAUGGCGAAGGCAGAUCUCUGGGCCGUAACUGACGCUGAGGAGCGAAAGCAUGGGGAGCGAAC
rnacentral:rRNA from 1 species